rnacentral:lncRNA from 1 species
UUAUUUCCUUCUUUCUGGGGAGAUAAGAGGGUAUUGAGUCAGGGUUUCUCUGUGUAGCCCUGGCUAACUUGGAACUCAUUCUGUAGACCAGGCUGGCCUCAAACUCACAGAAAUCCACCUGCCUCUGCUCCCAAGUGCUGGAAUCAAAGGCAUGCGCCACCACCGCCCAGGUAGCCUUGAACUUCCAAACAACCUCCCAACACCCAGGACUGCAUGUGGUCCUUGUUGUUUUAUACAUACAUAUUUACAUGUUUAAUCUAAAACCUAAGGAUAGUGUCCAAAAUACACAUAAUUAUUUUAUCUAUUAAAAUGAACAAUAAAGUUGUUAACAGUCACUUCCUAGUUUUCAAUAAUCUGUCUAUAUUAAAUAAUUUAUAAUUAUUUCAAAAUUUCAUUUAUAACAGUUUUAUAAUCUAGAAGUAGUCAAGUACUACGUCCAAAUUUGGUUUCGCUCCACAGGCUCUCUCUCUCUCUCUCUCUCUCUCUCUCUCUCUCUCUCUCUCAAAAGAUUUAUUUUAAGUUACAGGUAUAUAUGUAUUAGAUAGUGGUGGUAUGUGGACAUGCAGUCAGGUGCCCACAGGGUCCAGAAGAGAGUGUCACAUUCCCCUGUGGCUGGAGUUACAGUAACUGAGAGCUGUGGCAUGAGGGUGGUUGGAACAGAACUCUGGUCCUCUGCAAGAGCAGCAAGCCAUCUUCACCUUUGAGCCCUCUCUAGCCCUCUCUUGUCUCUUUCUUGUGGUGUUAGAUUCCUCUCACAAACUUUUUUUUUUUUUAACUUUUCAUCCAGUUGACCUGCUGAAGAGCCCUGGUCAGUGACCUUAUGGCAUGUCCUACAUCUUGGGCUGCCUGUUUUCUCAUGACGUCAUUUCCUCGUUUCUCUGUGACUUGCACCCCAAUCCCUCUUCACUCAGGAUGUUGGCCUGCCUGACAUGAGUCCCGCUGACCACUGGCUCCUCCCCUUUCUGCCUGGAUUCCAUCCUUGGAGUUCCCUUGAUGUCAGUAGGUCAUUUUUCCCAAGAAGAUGCCUCCUGCUUCCUGCCCAUCUAGAGAUCAGAGCGGGGGAAGGCUUGGGGUUUCCACUUCCAAUACCUGAGCAUCCCUCAGUGCCUUCUGGCUUUUGGACCAGAAGUCCCCUGUUCUCUGCAGGUGAACAAGCCUCUGAUCUUUGGCUAGGACAAGAGAGGGGCAGGGUCCUGGAGGUCAGGCAGCUUUCUGUUUUGUUUUGUUUUUCAAGACAGGGUUUCUCUGUGUAGUCCUGGCUGACCUGUAACUCAUUCUGUAGACCAGGCUGGCCUUGAACUCAUAGAUCUGUCUGCCUCUGCCUCCUGAGAGCUGGGAUUAAAUGUUCAAGUAGCUUCUUGAUUAUUACCUCCACUGCUCAUAAGGUUGUACCUGCCGUUGUGGGUUCUGGGCCUUUGAUGCCUGGGAACAGAGCUGUUUGCGUUCUCCCAGCGUGUUCUCAGAACUGCCUGGAUGGCUGUCUCUUUACCAUCUGUUUUCCACCUUCUGGCUGUUGCUGCUUGUUGUCUCUGUGUUCUUGGUCCUGGUGGGCUAGUUUUCUCUGCAAAUCUCUUUCCUGGUGCUUAGCCAAGUGUAGAGGGAGAGACUAAAUUCGUGGCGGCUAAUCCACCAGCUCUAUCCACUAGUGGAUUUAGAAAAAUGCUUUGAAUGGCCAGGAGAGUGUUUCAGUGAGAAAGGUUUGCUUCAGAGGCAACAAUACCCCCGGGCCCUUUGGAUUAACCCUGAAGUUCGGUUGCUCAGCAGGAUGCUGGGAGAAUUUAGAAUUAUAGAGAAAGCAAGUAGUCUGAGACCAGAGAGGAAGGGAAGAUGUAAAGAUAGAUGUGAUAAGAACCCAGGGACAGUGGGAGGCACACUCCGUGCUGUAACCAAGGGCAGACGCAGAGCUUAGUGCUGUAGGAACUUCCUGCUGGGGGCGCUGGUUGAAGCGCUUGGGAGAACAGCUCUGUCCUCCAUCUGUCUUAGGCUGGCUGUUGGCCUGGCAUUAGAACAGGGGCUGCUGCCUUCCCGCCUCUGUGUUUCCUUCCUCUUUGAGUUGAACAUAAGUGUUUUGGGGAGAAAAAUCCAUUUCCUCUGCAGGAAAUUGUGGCCACACAACUCUGUUCUUGCCGAUAGGAUUUUAGCAUCGGUGUGACCGAGUCCUGCGCGAUAAAUGUGAGCAUGAAUGUCAUGUCAGAGUUCCAGGAAGGCCAAUUAAAGGGAUUUCCUCGGUUGCCAUACCUCUUUAAAGCCCAUCUGCUGUUAAGACCGAAAUUUGGAUGAAAUGGCUGGAGUUGUAGGAGUAAUCACUUAUUUGGCAAGUGCCUCGGAAGCUCUCAGCUUGUGUAUUAACUCGUCUAAUCCUCCCACCACCAGCCGUGAGAGGUAAGCACUGUUUCUUACCUCUGUUUUGCAGAUGAGGAACGAGGGAGGAGGCUUAGAGAGGUUAACUAGCUUGUCUAGUGGUGACCUGUCCGUAGCAGUCAUCAUCUGGCCUUGAAACACACCCAGCCUUUGGAGCUCAAGUCACAGAAAAGUCACCAGCCAAGCCCAUUCCGACUGACACCUUCCCUGCCUGCCACCUCCACAUCUUGGAUUAUAGAAUCAGAGUGCCAGCCCAGCAAGCAUGCCCAAGGAAUGAAGGAGGAAGACUCUGGAGUUCUGGGUGUCGCCAGCACAGACAUCAAUAAAGGCUCGGGGAGAGGCGAAAGAUUAGAAAAGGCCAGGUGACCUGGAGGGGUGGGGCCUGAGGGCUGAAGUGUAGAUUAAGAGCAGGUAAGAGGGGCUGCGGUUGUGUAGCUCGGUUGCUUAGGAUGCAUGAAGCCCUGGGUUCAGUCCCCAGCAACCCACAGAGUACAGGAGGAGCAAAAGUUCAGGGUCAUCUCCAACAUAGCAACGUUGAGCUCAGUUGGGCUGUGCCAGCUGCCUGUCUGGAGACGAGGUUCCCUCCCUGCACCAUACUGUAGAGGCAUGGUAUACAGAGCCUCUGGUUUGCAUCUGUCAAGCAUCCCCAGUGUUCAGCAUCGCCCCCUUAGGUGUGGUCCUCUGUACAUCCUGGCUUCCUUUGAGCCGAGCGGAUAGAAAGACUCAUUAGGAAAUUUGAGGCGGCUGUACUUGUUAGGAAUAGAGAGCCCUGUAAAUUCUACUUCGGGCGUGGUAGGGAGAGUUGGGACCAAAUUUUUAAGAUACAAAUAAGAGCACUUUCGUACCAUAAACUCAUCUUUGCUCAUUGAAUUAAUCAAAGAGAUAAGAAAUAUUGAAAAAAGAGAGAGUGUGUGUGCUAGGCAUAGGGCUCUUGAUUAAUGAGGAGGCCCGGAAGAACAGCUUUCUCAGGGGGGCGCAUAGGGAGCGAUCCUGUACCAAUUGCUACCUUAUCACGUAAGUUUCAUUCCUUGGUCCCCUAGCUGACUGUAAAUAAGCCAAUUUUAAGGGUACUGUUGCAAGCUAGACUCGCUGGAGUCGAGAGUUUGAGGUCACACUAAUGAGCUGUGAGUUAUGGGUGCUCUCAGGUGAUUCAGUUUUGCCCUGAAUGCGAAGGCAGCUCUCUUGGGCUUGUCUCUUGGUUCUAAAGUGCUGGCUGGUCUGUGGGGUUUGUAGGAGAGGGCAUGGCUUGCCUGGAAAAAGCCGCCGAUCUCUAAGGAUGCUCUUAAUAAAGUCACAGUAGUAAUGAGGCAGAUGGGCCCUGCAUUUGGAAUGCAAAUUCACAUCCUGGCAGAGCAGCCGGAGGAGGACCGGGCCCAGCCGAGCUCAACGGAAGCGUCCUUUUCAAACAUCUCCAUGGAGAACCUGUAUUUGCACCCAGAACGAAGGAAACAGCUUGAGGCUGAGACAGCCCUGGGGAGUUCUCAACCAAAACUAGAUUGCCCGAGGGACACCCCGGGGAAACCCUGAUGAAGAGUCCAAGUUGGACUCAUAGAAAAUGAGAGUUAAUGAGAUGCAAGGGAACAGUGAAGACUGGAGACAGCUUUGAGUGGGGAGGACAACCCAGCCUCCAAAUGCAGGGCUGAGGAAUGCUGAGAGAACUCUCCAAGUAUUUGUUAAGUUUUUGAGUCACCUAAGAGAAAUGAGCCUUCCUGGGGAAAGAACAAAGACUUCCGACCUGACAGCUUCGAGCAAGGCCGGAGCACAUCAAAACAGCCUCUGCAGAGGCGCGUGAUAAACAGCCCACAGUCCUUUUCCCCUGACUUUUAUUUCUUCUCUCUGAUCAUCCGUGUAUUUCACGAUUUCUCAUUCCUUCGUUCACUUCCACCCCGAGGGACAGGGUCACAGAGCGAUCAGGGACACAUCCAGGAACAGAAUAUUAAAGGCUCCAUCCUUGUUCCACAUCUGAGAAAGAACAUUGGGGAGCCGGGGAAAAUGAAACAAAUCACUCACCCCGACGACGGCUCAGAAUAGAUCAUUCCCGGGGCUCCGCGGCCGCGUUCGCGGCUGAAUCCGGAGCUCUGCGAAAGGCGCUUAAGAGAUUUUAUUCCUAAUCUACUUUUUCCUCCUUAGAGCUUUGGAAAUAUGGCUGUGUAAUUUAAUGAUUACAGGAGAUGAGCCGAAGAAUGAGCUAAAUAAGAUAACAUCGGCUCGCUUUGUAAUGAGGGGGCCGAAUUUUCCAAAUAUAGAGCAAAAUCCAAUUGUGGCCCUGUUGUUUAUAAAUGUUUCCUGCAUGACAUUUACAUGAGAGCCUCUGUUGGGACCCACAGUGUCCUUUUUCAUAUCUCGAGCCUUCUCCUUGGCUUUCUACAGAAUUAAGGGAGGAGAAUGCAAGCUGAUUUCUGUAGAUCACCCUGUUGGCCGUAUAGACUAGUGUGUUGUGCUGCUGAAAGAAAUAUAGGCUGGAGUUAGACAUCUACACAGUGAGCAAUGUCAAUGGUUACCAUGAGAGGCAGCAGACACCCCUGAAACAUCACGAGCUUUUCAAUAGUGGAUAACAAAUAAGAUUCAAAAAGCAAUAGUAAGAAAUACAGUUCAGCCGUGUGGUAGUGGCACACGCCUUUAAUCCCAGCACUUGGGAGGCAGAGGCAGGCGGAUUUCUGAGUUUGAGGCCAGCCUGGUCUACAGUGUGAGUUCCAGGACAGCCAGGGCUACACAGAGAAACCCUUGUCUUGAAAAAAAACAAAAAACGAAAGAAAGAAAGAGAGAAAGAAAGAAAGGAAGAGCAUGGCUCUAGCUGCAUACGUAGCUGAGAUGGUCUCGUCGGUCAUCAGUGGGAAGAGAGGCCCUUGGUCCUGUGAAGGUUUUAUGCCCCAUUAUAGGGGAAUGCCAGGGCCAGGAAGCAA